rnacentral:rRNA from 1 species
CAAUAGCGUAUAUUAAAGUUGUUGCAGUUAAAAAGCUCGUAGUUGGAUUCCUGGUGGGAGCGAUCGGUCUGGCGCUUAGCGCGAGUACUUGCAUCGUCUCCGGCCAUCCUUGGGGAGAGUCUGUCUGGCAUUAAGUUGUCGGGCAGAGGAUCCUCAUCGUUUACUGUGAAAAAAUUAGAGUGUUCAAAGCAGGCUUAUGCCGUUGAAUAUAUUAGCAUGGAAUAAUAAGAUAGGACUUUGGUACUAUUUUGUUGGUUUGCGCACCAAAGUAAUGAUUAAUAGGGACAGUUGGGGGUAUUCGUAUUCCGUUGUCAGAGGUGAAAUUCUUGGAUUUACGGAAGACGAACUACUGCGAAAGCAUUUACCAAGGAUGUUUUCAUUAA